UACGGUAGGGCGCAAGCGUUAUCCGGAAUUAUUGGGCGUAAAGAGCUCGUAGGCGGUUUGUCGCGUCUGCCGUGAAAGUCCGGGGCUCAACUCCGGAUCUGCGGUGGGUACGGGCAGACUAGAGUGAUGUAGGGGAGACUGGAAUUCCUGGUGUAGCGGUGAAAUGCGCAGAUAUCAGGAGGAACACCGAUGGCGAAGGCAGGUCUCUGGGCAUUAACUGACGCUGAGGAGCGAAAGCAUGGGGGAGCGAACAGG
rnacentral:rRNA from 1 species